CCUACGGGAGGCAGCAGUGGGGAAUAUUGGACAAUGGGCGAAAGCCUGAUCCAGCAAUGCCGCGUGUGUGAAGAAGGCCUGCGGGUUGUAAAGCACUUUCAGUUGGGAGAAAGUUUUUUUGGUUAAGAGCUAAGAGAAUUGAUGUUACCUUCAGAAGAAGCACCGGCUAACUCUGUGCCAGCAGCCGCGGUAAUACAGAGGGUGCGAGCGUUAAUCGGAAUAACUGGGCGUAAAGGGUGCGUAGGCGGAACGCUAAGUCAGAUGUGAAAUCCCCGGGCUUAACCUGGGAACUGCAUUUGAAACUGGCGAUCUAGAGCAGAGAAGAGGAGAGUAGAAUUUCAGGUGUAGCAGUGAAAUGCGUAGAUAUCUGAAGGAAUACCGGUGGCGAAGGCGGCUCUCUGGUCUCAUGCUGACGCUGAGGCACGACAGCGUGGGGAGCAAACAGGAUUAGAUACCCCAGUAGUC
rnacentral:rRNA from 1 species